AACGAACGCUGGCGGCAUGCCUAACACAUGCAAGUCGAACGAGACCUUCGGGUCUAGUGGCGCACGGGUGCGUAACGCGUUGGAACCUGCCCUUAGGUUCGGAAUAACUCCCCGAAAGGGGUGCUAAUACCGGAUAAUGUCUUCGGACCAAAGAUUUAUCGCCUUUGGAUGGGCCCGCGUUGGAUUAGCUAGUUGGUAGGGUAAAAGCCUACCAAGGCGACGAUCCAUAGCUGGUCUGAGAGGAUGAUCAGCCACACUGGGACUGAGACACGGCCCAGACUCCUGCGGGAGGCAGCAGUGGGGAAUAUUGGACAAUGGGCGAAAGCCUGAUCCAGCAAUGCCGCGUGAGUGAUGAAGGCCUUAGGGUUGUAAAGCUCUUUUACCCGGGAUGAUAAUGACAGUACCGGGAGAAUAAGCUCCGGCUAACUCCGUG
rnacentral:rRNA from 1 species